rnacentral:rRNA from 1 species
AACGCUAGCUACAGGCUUAACACAUGCAAGUCGAGGGGUAGCAGGGUAGCAAUACCGCUGACGACCGGCGCACGGGUGAGUAACACGUAUCCAACCUUCCCAUAACUCAGGGAUAGCCUUUCGAAAGAAAGAUUAAUACCUGAUAGCACUUAUAUAAGGCAUCUUAAAUAAGUUAAAGAUUUAUUGGUUAUGGAUGGGGAUGCGUUCCAUUAGAUAGUUGGUGAGGUAACGGCUCACCAAGUCUUCGAUGGAUAGGGGUUCUGAGAGGAAGGUCCCCCACAUUGGUACUGAGACACGGACCAAACUCCUACGGGAGGCAGCAGUGAGGAAUAUUGGUCAAUGGGCGAGAGCCUGAACCAGCCAAGUAGCGUGAAGGAUGAAGGUCCUAUGGAUUGUAAACUUCUUUUAUAGUAGAAUAAAGUGAGCCACGUGUGGUUUUUUGUAUGUAUACUAUGAAUAAGGAUCGGCUAACUCCGUGCCAGCAGCCGCGGUAAUACGGAGGAUCCGAGCGUUAUCCGGAUUUAUUGGGUUUAAAGGGUGCGUAGGCGGAAUAAUAAGUCAGUUGUGAAAGUUUGCGGCUCAACCGUAAAAUUGCAGUUGAUACUGUUAUUCUUGAGUGUACAUAAGGUAGGCGGAAUUCGUGGUGUAGCGGUGAAAUGCUUAGAUAUCACGAAGAACUCCGAUUG